GACGAACGCUGGUGGCGUGCUUAACACAUGCAAGUCGAACGCUGAAGCUUGGUGCUUGCACUGGGUGGAUGAGUGGCGAACGGGUGAGUAAUACGUGAGUAACCUGCCCUUGACUCUGGGAUAAGCCUGGGAAACUGGGUCUAAUACUGGAUACGACAUGUCACCGCAUGGUGGCGUGUGGAAAGGGUUUUACUGGUUUUGGAUGGGCUCACGGCCUAUCAGCUUGUUGGUGGGGUAAUGGCUCACCAAGGCGACGACGGGUAGCCGGCCUGAGAGGGUGACCGGCCACACUGGGACUGAGACACGGCCCAGACUCCUACGGGAGGCAGCAGUGGGGAAUAUUGCACAAUGGGCGAAAGCCUGAUGCAGCGACGCCGCGUGAGGGAUGACGGCCUUCGGGUUGUAAACCUCUUUCAGCACGGAAGAAGCGAAAGUGACGGUACGUGCAGAAGAAGCGCCGGCUAACUACGUG
rnacentral:rRNA from 1 species